rnacentral:rRNA from 1 species
CUACGGGGCGCUGCAGUGAGGAAUUUUGCGCAAUGGGGGAAACCCUGACGCAGCAACGCCGCGUGAGUGAAGAAGGCCCUUGGGUCGUAAAGCUCUGUCAAUGGGGAAGAAGUUACUUGGUAUUAAUAGUGCCUUGUAUUGACGGUACCCAUGAAGGAAGCACCGGCUAACUCCGUGCCAGCAGCCGCGGUAAUACGGGGGGUGCAAGCGGUAUUCGGAAUUAUUGGGCGUAAAGGGUACGCAGGCGGUCCUGUCAGUCAGAUGUGAAAGCCCGGGGCUCAACCCCGGACGUGCAUUUGAAACAGCAGGACUUGAGUACGGGAGAGGAAAGGGGAAUUCCUGGUGUAGAGGUGAAAUUCGUAGAUAUCAGGAGGAACACCGGUGGCGAAGGCGCCUUUCUGGACCGAUACUGACGCUGAGGUGCGAAGGCGUGGGUAGCGAACAGGAUUAGAUACCCUGGUAGUC